GGGGAUGCAUUGCAUCGACAGGAUUAGUACUUUAAAAACUGCAAGCCGGCGUUGAUUAUAAAGCCGUAAAACUUAAUCAAAAAUUAAAUGCUAGACCAAAUUUAGCAUUCGUUCCCUCACAGCGUUUAUACGCUUAAGGAAACUGUUCAUAAUGUCUUUUCUCAAUGGGGCAAUAUGAGCAUAAAUACAGUUGAGAAAACUGUAAGGAAACCGGUUAGAUCCUUAUUGUAUUUAUAACCUCGGCUCUUUUUAUGGAUGUUUGUUUUCAAAGAAAAGAGUGAUCAAAAAAAUAACAAACCAAGCUUGUAGAAGUUUUUAAGAAUUUUUCUUGGACUCGGGGUCACACCCGACAUCUCCACAC
rnacentral:tmRNA from 1 species